rnacentral:rRNA from 1 species
GGGGGAAACCCUGACGCAGCAACGCCGCGUGGGUGAUGAAGGUCUUCGGAUUGUAAAGCCCUGUUUUCUAGGACGAUAAUGACGGUACUAGAGGAGGAAGCCACGGCUAACUACGUGCCAGCAGCCGCGGUAAUACGUAGGUGGCGAGCGUUGUCCGGAUUUACUGGGCGUAAAGGGUGCGUAGGCGGAUGUUUAAGUGGGAUGUGAAAUCCCCGGGCUUAACCUGGGGGCUGCAUUCCAAACUGGAUAUCUAGAGUGCAGGAGAGGAAAGCGGAAUUCCUAGUGUAGCGGUGAAAUGCGUAGAGAUUAGGAAGAACACCAGUGGCGAAGGCGGCUUUCUGGACUGUAACUGACGCUGAGGCACGAAAGCGUGGGUAGCAAACAGGAUUAGAUACCCUGGUAGUCCACGCCGUAAACGAUGGAUACUAGGUGUAGGGGGUAUCAACUCCCCCUGUGCCGCAGUUAACACAAUAAGUAUCCCGCCUGGGGAGUACGGUCGCAAGAUUAAAACUCAAAGGAAUUGACGGGGGCCCGCACAAGCAGCGGAGCAUGUGGUUUAAUUCGAAGCAACGCGAAGAACCUUACCUGGACUUGACAUCCCUUGCAUAGCCUAGAGAUAGGUGAAGCCCUUCGGGGCAAGGAGACAGGUGGUGCAUGGUUGUCGUCAGCUCGU